rnacentral:rRNA from 1 species
UGGGGAAUAUUGCACAAUGGAGGAAACUCUGAUGCAGCGACGCCGCGUGAGGGAAGAAGGUCUUCGGAUUGUAAACCUCUGUCUUUGGGGACGAUAUGACGGUACCCAAGGAGGAAGCACCGGCUAACUACGUGCCAGCAGCCGCGGUAAAACGUAGGGUGCAAGCGUUGUCCGGAAUUACUGGGUGUAAAGGGAGCGCAGGCGGAUUUGUAAGUUGGAAGUGAAAACUAUGGGCUCAACCCAUAACGUGCUUUCAAAACUAUAGAUCUUGAGUGGUGUAGAGGUAGGCGGAAUUCCCGGUGUAGCGGUGGAAUGCGUAGAUAUCGGGAGGAACACCAGUGGCGAAGGCGGCCUACUGGGCACUAACUGACGCUGAGGCUCGAAAGUAUGGGUAGCAAACAG